UGGGGAAUAUUGGACAAUGGGCGAAAGCCUGAUCCAGCCAUGCCGCGUGUGUGAAGAAGGUCUUCGGAUUGUAAAGCACUUUAAGUUGGGAGGAAGGGCAGUAAGCGAAUACCUUGCUGUUUUGACGUUACCGACAGAAUAAGCACCGGCUAACUCUGUGCCAGCAGCCGCGGUAAUACAGAGGGUGCAAGCGUUAAUCGGAAUUACUGGGCGUAAAGCGCGCGUAGGUGGUUCGUUAAGUUGAAUGUGAAAGCCCCGGGCUCAACCUGGGAACUGCAUCCAAAACUGGCGAGCUAGAGUAGGGCAGAGGGUGGUGGAAUUUCUUGUGUAGCGGUGAAAUGCGUAGAUAUAGGAAGGAACACCAGUGGCGAAGGCGACCACCUGGGCUCAUACUGACACUGAGGUGCGAAAGCGUGGGGAGCAAACAGG
rnacentral:rRNA from 1 species